GCCGAAGUAGCUCAAUGGUAGAGCAACGGUUUUGUAAACCGUAGGUUACCGGUUCAAAUCCGGUCUUCGGCU
rnacentral:tRNA from 1 species